rnacentral:rRNA from 1 species
UGGGGAAUAUUGGACAAUGGGGGGAACCCUGAUCCAGCCAUGCCGCGUGUGUGAAGAAGGCCUUAUGGUUGUAAAGAACUUUAAGCGAGGAGGAGGGUACUGGUAUUAAUACUACCAGCUACUGGACGUUACUCGCAGAAUAAGCACCGGCUAACUCUGUGCCAGCAGCCGCGGUAAUACAGAGGGUGCGAGCGUUAAUCGGAUUUACUGGGCGUAAAGCGUGCGUAGGCGGCUAAUUGAGUCGGAUGUGAAAUCCCCGAGCUUAACUUGGGAAUUGCAUUCGAUACUGGUUAGCUAGAGUGUGGGAGAGGAUGGUAGAAUUCCAGGUGUAGCGGUGAAAUGCGUAGAGAUCUGGAGGAAUACCUAUGGCGAAGGCAGCCAUCUGGCCUAACACUGACGCUGAGGUACGAAAGCAUGGGGAGCAAACAGG